rnacentral:rRNA from 1 species
UACAGAGGUCUCAAGCGUUGUUCGGAUUCAUUGGGCGUAAAGGGUGCGUAGGUGGCGCUGUAAGUCGGGUGUGAAAUUUCGGAGCUUAACUCCGAAACUGCAUUCGAUACUGCGGUGCUCGAGGACUGGAGAGGAGACUGGAAUUCAUGGUGUAGCAGUGAAAUGCGUAGAGAUCAUGAGGAACACCGGUGGCGAAGGCGGGUCUCUGGGCCGAUAUUGACGCUGAGGAGCGAAAGCGUGGGGAGCGAACAGG